rnacentral:lncRNA from 1 species
GGCGGCUCCCGGUCCUGUGAGUCCAGAGGCGCCUUUUGAUCCGUCCAAGGCCCCAGUUAUCGAGGGCUUCAGCCCCACGGUCUACACCAAUCCAGAGGGCUUCAAGGAAAAGUUUAUUCGCAAGACCCGUGAGAACCCAAUGGUGCCUAUAGGAUCUGACUGGCAUAGACUCCAUGGAGCAGUGUCGCCUUGCCUUGGAACAGCAUAACUGGAACAUGGAGGCUGCCGUCCAGGACAGACUGAAUGAGCAAGAGGGUGUACCAAGUGUUUUCAAUCCACCUCCAUCUCGACCCCUACAGGUUAAUACAGCUGACCACAGGAUCUACAGCUACGUUGUCUCAAGACCACAACCAAGGG